UGCCGAUACCUGACCUCGGCUAGUUCCUGACCCGGACUGCUGACAACAGUCCGACUGAAUCUAUCCAAAGCGCCAGCCCAGCCAGCACAUCCUCAGUUCUGAACGCACCUUUGCUGGCCCAGCCGAGAGUCAGAAAAGAAGACACACAGGAUAACGAAAACCCGGGCCCCAGUUCCCACCCUACGGGGGCCUAGAUGUCUCUUGGUGUAGCGGAAGAUGCUAAGCAAAUGAAAGUUCAGUGCAUGAUCCUUAA